rfam:Picea glauca, whole genome shotgun sequence.
GGGUUGGUAGCUCAGUGGAUUGGAUCUCAAAGUUCCAGACCAUGAAGUCAAGGGUUCAAUCCCUUCUAGCCCA